rnacentral:rRNA from 1 species
CCUACGGGAGGCUGCAGUGGGGGAUAUUGCACAAUGGAGGAAACUCUGAUGCAGCGACGCCGCGUGAGUGAAGAAGUAUUUCGGUAUGUAAAGCUCUAUCGGCAGGGAAGAGAAUGACGGUACCUGAGUAAGAAGCCCCGGCUAACUACGUGCCAGCAGCCGCGGUAAUACGUAGGGGGCAAGCGUUACCCGGAUUUACUGGGUGUAAAUGGAGCGUAGACGGCGAAGCAAGUCUGAAGUGAAAGCCCGCGGCUCAACCGCGGAACUGCUUUGGAAACUUUUUUGCUGGAGUACCGGAGAGGUAAGCGGAAUUCCUAGUGUAGCGGUGAAAUGCGUAGAUAUUAGGAGGAACACCAGUGGCGAAGGCGGCUUACUGGACGGUAACUGACGUUGAGGCUCGAAAGCGUGGGGAGCAAACAGGAUUAGAUACCCUGGUAGUC